rnacentral:rRNA from 1 species
GAGUUUGAUCCUGGCUCAGAUUGAACGCUAGCGGCAGGCCUAACACAUGCAAGUCGAGCGGUAGAGAGAAGCUUGCUUCUCUUGAGAGCGGCGGACGGGUGAGUAAUGCCUAGGAAUCUGCCUGGUAGUGGGGGAUAACGCUCGGAAACGGACGCUAAUACCGCAUACGUCCUACGGGAGAAAGCAGGGGACCUUCGGGCCUUGCGCUAUCAGAUGAGCCUAGGUCGGAUUAGCUAGUUGGUGAGGUAAUGGCUCACCAAGGCGACGAUCCGUAACUGGUCUGAGAGGAUGAUCAGUCACACUGGAACUGAGACACGGUCCAGACUCCUACGGGAGGCAGCAGUGGGGGAAUAUUGGACAAUGGGCGAAAGCCUGAUCCAGCCAUGCCGCGUGUGUGAAGAAGGUCUUCGGAUUGUAAAGCACUUUAAGUUGGGAGGAAGGGCAGUAAAUUAAUACUUUUGCUGUUUUGACGUUACCGACAGAAUAAGCACCGGCUAACUCUGUGCCAGCCGCCG